GACGAACGCUGGCGGCGUGCCUAAUACAUGCAAGUUGAGCGCUGAAGGUUGGUACUUGUACCAACUGGAUGAGCAGCGAACGGGUGAGUAACGCGUGGGGAAUCUGCCUUUGAGCGGGGGACAACAUUUGGAAACGAAUGCUAAUACCGCAUAAAAACUUUAAACACAAGUUUUAAGUUUGAAAGAUGCAAUUGCAUCACUCAAAGAUGAUCCCGCGUUGUAUUAGCUGGUUGGUGAGGUAAAGGCUCACCAAGGCGAUGAUACAUAGCCGACCUGAGAGGGUGAACGGCCACAUUGGGACUGAGACACGGCCCAAACUCCUACGGGAGGCAGCAGUAGGGAAUCUUCGGCAAUGGACGAAAGUCUGACCGAGCAACGCCGCGUGAGUGAAGAAGGUUGUCGGAUCGUAAAACUCUGUUGGUAGAGAAGAACGUUGGUGAGAGUGGAAAGCUCAUCAAGUGACGGUAACUAUCCAGAAAGGGACGGCUAACUACGUG
rnacentral:rRNA from 1 species